rnacentral:rRNA from 1 species
CGUGAGGGAAGAAGGCCUUCGGGUUGUAAACCUCUUUCAGCAGGGAAGAAGCUGACGGGACCGUCCCAGCAAAACACGGACCGGUCCAUGCCAUGCCCCAC